rnacentral:rRNA from 1 species
GAUGAACGCUGGCGGCGUGCCUAAUACAUGCAAGUCGAGCGAACAGACGAGGAGCUUGCUCCUCUGACGUUAGCGGCGGACGGGUGAGUAACACGUGGAUAACCUACCUAUAGGACUGGGAUAACUUCGGGAAACCGGAGCUAAUACCGGAUAAUAUAUUGAACCGCAUGGUUCAAUAGUGAAAGACGGUUUUGCUGUCACUUAUAGAUGGAUCCGCGCCGCAUUAGCUAGUUGGUAAGGUAACGGCUUACCAAGGCAACGAUGCGUAGCCGACCUGAGAGGGUGAUCGGCCACACUGGAACUGAGACACGGUCCAGGCUCCUACGGGAGGCAGCAGCAGGGAAUCUUCCGCAAUGGGCGAAAGCCUGACGGAGCAACGCCGCGUGAGUGAUGAAGGUCUUCGGAUCGUAAAACUCUGUUAUUAGGGAAGAACAAAUGUGUAAGUAACUAUGCACGUCUUGACGGUACCUAAUCAGAAAGCCACGGCUAACUACGUG